rnacentral:rRNA from 1 species
CCUACGGGAGGCAGCAGUAGGGAAUAUUGCUCAAUGGGGGAAACCCUGAAGCAGCAACGCCGCGUGGAGGAUGAAGGUUUUCGGAUUGUUAACUCCUUUUGUUAGAGAAGAUAAUGACGGUAUCUAACGAAUAAGCACCGGCUAACUCCGUGCCAGCAGCCGCGGUAAUACGGAGGGUGCCAGCGUUACUCGGAAUCACUGGGCGUAAAGAGCGCGUAGGCGGGAUAGCAAGUCAGAUGUGAAAUCCUAUGGCUUAACCAUAGAACUGCAUUUGAAACUGUUAUUCUAGAGUAUGGGAGAGGUAGGUGGAAUUCUUGGUGUAGGGGUAAAAUCCGUAGAGAUCAAGAAGAAUACUCAUUGCGAAGGCGACCUGCUAGAACAUAACUGACGCUGAGGCGCGAAAGCGUGGGGAGCAAACAGGAUUAGAUACCCGAGUAGUC